GCCCGUCUAGCUCAGUCGGUAGAGCGCAAGACUCUUAAUCUUGUUGGUCGUGGGUUCGAGCCCCACGGUGGUGUUUGCU
rnacentral:tRNA from 1 species